CCGACGUUCCCCAUCCAAACUGACAGCUUGAGAGGAUAUGCAGAGAAUGGCAGAAAAUCCCCAAAUCCAGAUCAAGCAUUGGAACAACGUUUACGGAGAACAGGCACCCAACAACACCCAAAGUCCAUCACUAAUGCACCAAGGAUCAGGCUGAUUACUGACGAUUUGGAAG